UACAGAGGGUGCAAGCGUUAAUCGGAAUUACUGGGCGUAAAGCGUGCGCAGACGGUUGCGUAAGUCAGAUGUGAAAGCCCCGGGCUCAACCUGGGAAUUGCAUUUGAGACUGCGUAGCUAGGGUGCGGAAGAGGGAAGCGGAAUUUCCGGUGUAGCGGUGAAAUGCAUAGAUAUCGGAAGGAACACCAGUGGCGAAAGCGGCUUCCUGGUCCAGCACCGACGUCAGGCACGAAAGCGUGGGGAGCAAACAGG
rnacentral:rRNA from 1 species